rnacentral:tRNA from 1 species
GGAGAGAUGCCGGAGUGGUCGAUCGGGGCGGUCUCGAAAACCGUUGUACCUUUUUAGGUACCCAGGGUUCGAAUCCCUGUCUCUCCG